UCUGUUAUCUCACCAGGAAAGAGAAAAAAAAAGGAAGUGGGACAGGAGAAUUAGGAAGGAAGAGAGAGUGUGCAUGUUCUGAAGUGGUGGAAAAAUUCUUCCUGAGGAGAUUAACCUUUCUGUUGAUGGUCCAGAGCAAAGACCGUGUCACCUGUAACUUGCCCUCCAGGCAUGCAGCUAUUUCUGCCUUUGAAGGAGAAGAAUAAGUUUGAAAAUGUCUUCGAAGUUCAGGUUUGGCUUUUCAGAAAUGUGUUGGCUUUCUCUAAAACUGGCUAACAGCCUGAUUAAUUUUGUGGAGCUGGGCUAUGAUAUGAAAGCCUUUAGUCACUGCUGGGGGGAAAAAAGCAUGCAGAAAGAAGGAAAAAUACUAAGACAGAACUGACAUUCAUAAUUUUGUUGAAUUCAACAGAAUUCGAAUGAGUCUUUGAACCACCACAUGAUAACAAAAAACCCCACCAGAGAUCAUUCACCAUAUCAUUUCCUCCCAAGGUCUAUUAAUCAUCUGAUGUGACUGAAGAUGGUUCUGUCAGCUGUGCUCUGAGUGUAAGAGCACAAUUAUAAUAUUGGGAUUUAUUUUGUCCAGGCCAUGAAUUUAUUUUUUUGUUUAAUUAUCACAGAUUUACAGCCUAGACAUCUUAAAACCUGAGUUUCCACUUCAAAAGUGUCUCACUCACAAUCUGCCAAAUGACCCCAUUUUAAAAUUAUGUGAGCAAAGAAUAUAAAAAGCACUGCGUGCAAUUGCCCACUGCACUUCCAGAAUCACUGCCCUGUCUGUUCCAUAUCUAAGAGCCUCUGGUUAUAAAAAGAUUCUUUUAGUUGCUUAUCCUGUAUGUUCUUGUUCUUAUCUCCAAGCUUUGACCUUUUAUUUUUUAUUAUUUACCUUUGCAAAAAGCCUGUUGGCAGAAGUCUGUUCUUUUCCAUGUCAGGAUUUUCUCUAUUGUGUCUCACUGAGAUUUCUCUUGAAAUAUAAAUGCCAGAUUCACAAUGUUGAAUUUCAACUCCUUCCUCUGACUCUAAAAGUCCUUUUGGUUUCUAUGGUAUUAUACUCAAAGUAUGGCACACAAUGACUCCUGUCACAUCUGCUGUAAGUGCCUGUAAUUGCCCACUGCCCAAAUAAGAUUCUUAGCUGCUUUCCAUCUUUUAUGUUGCACUUCUGUAGAACAAGUCAUAUGGCACGGAAUAAAGCUGGUUCAAAAAUUCAACCUGAAACAGAUCCUGCUUUGAGUUUUCUCAUUCAACUACAUAUUCCCAAGCAGAAACAGACAUUCAGUGGGAAAAGUGAUUGCUAAUUAAGGAUGGUCUUCAAUACUUUGCUAACUAGAAGUUUUACAGUUAAAUGAUGGUUCCAAUUUCCUAAUUUUCU